rnacentral:rRNA from 1 species
UGCCAGCCGCCGCGGUAACACGGGGGGCGCAAGCGUUAUUCGGAAUUAUUGGGCGUAAAGGGCGCGCAGGCGGUCUGUUAAGUCAGAUGUGAAAUCCCCGGGCUUAACCUGGGAACUGCAUUUGAAACUGGCAGGCUUGAGUCUUGUAGAGGGGGGUAGAAUUCCAGGUGUAGCGGUGAAAUGCGUAGAGAUCUGGAGGAAUACCGGUGGCGAAGGCGGCCCCCUGGACAAAGACUGACGCUCAGGUGCGAAAGCGUGGGGAGCAAACAGGAUUAGAUA